rnacentral:snRNA from 1 species
GUGCUUGCUUCGGCAGCACAUACACUAAAAUUGGAACAAUACAGGGAAGAUUAGCAUGGCCCUUGUGUAAGGAUGACAUGCAAAUUCAUGAAGCAUCCCAUAUUUUU